rnacentral:rRNA from 1 species
UACGAAGGGGGCUAGCGUUGUUCGGAAUUACUGGGCGUAAAGCGCACGUAGGCGGACAUUUAAGUCAGGGGUGAAAUCCCAGAGCUCAACUCUGGAACUGCCUUUGAUACUGGGUGUCUUGAGUAUGGAGGAGGUGAGUGGAAUUCCGAGUGUAGAGGUGAAAUUCGUAGAUAUUCGGAGGAACACCAGUGGCGAAGGCGGCUCACUGGUCCAUUACUGACGCUGAGGUGCGAAAGCGUGGGGAGCAAACAGG